rnacentral:rRNA from 1 species
UACAGAGGAGCCAAGCGUUGUCCGGAUUGACUGGGCGUAAAGGGUGCGUAGGCGGCGCGGUAAGUCGGGUGUGAAAUCUCGGAGCUUAACUCCGAAACUGCAUUCGAUACUGCCGUGCUUGAGGACUGGAGAGGAGACUGGAAUUUACGGUGUAGCGGUGAAAUGCGUAGAUAUCGUAAGGAAGACCAGUGGCGAAGGCGGGUCUCUGGACAGUUCCUGACGCUGAGGCACGAAGGCCAGGGGAGCAAACGGG